rnacentral:rRNA from 1 species
UUUACUUCGGUAAAGAGCGGCGGACGGGUGAGUAACGCGUGGGUAACCUACCCUGUACACACGGAUAACAUACCGAAAGGUAUGCUAAUACGGGAUAAUAUAUUUGAGAGGCAUCUCUUGAAUAUCAAAGGUGAGCCAGUACAGGAUGGACCCGCGUCUGAUUAGCUAGUUGGUAAGGUAACGGCUUACCAAGGCGACGAUCAGUAGCCGACCUGAGAGGGUGAUCGGCCACAUUGGAACUGAGACACGGUCCAAACUCCUACGGGAGGCAGCAGUGGGGAAUAUUGCACAAUGGGCGAAAGCCUGAUGCAGCAACGCCGCGUGAGUGAUGAAGGCCUUCGGGUCGUAAAACUCUGUCCUCAAGGAAGAUAAUGACGGUACUUGAGGAGGAAGCCCCGGCUAACUACGUGCCAGCAGCCGCGGUAAUACGUAGGGGGCUAGCGUUAUCCGGAUUUACUGGGCGUAAAGGGUGCGUAGGCGGUCUUUCAAGUCAGGAGUGAAAGGCUACGGCUCAACCGUAGUAAGCUCUUGAAACUGGGAGACUUGAGUGCAGGAGAGGAGAGUGGAAUUCCUAGUGUAGCGGUGAAAUGCGUAGAUAUUAGGAGGAACACCAGUUGCGAAGGCGGCUCUCUGGACUGUAACUGACGCUGAGGCACGAAAGCGUGGGGAGCAAACAGGAUUAGAUACCCUGGUAGUCCACGCUGUAAACGAUGAGUACUAGGUGUCGGGGGUUACCCCCUUCGGUGCCGCAGCUAACGCAUUAAGUACUCCGCCUGGGAAGUACGCUCGCA